rnacentral:rRNA from 1 species
UGCCAGACUCCUACGGGAGGCAGCAGUGGGGAAUAUUGCACAAUGGGGGAAACCCUGAUGCAGCGACGCCGCGUGAGUGAAGAAGUAUUUCGGUAUGUAAAGCUCUAUCAGCAGGGAAGAAGAAGGACGGUACCUGAGUAAGAAGCCCCGGCUAACUACGUGCCAGCAGCCGCGGUAAUACGUAGGGGGCAAGCGUUAUCCGGAUUUACUGGGUGUAAAGGGAGCGUAGACGGCAGUGCAAGUCUGGAGUGAAAGGCGGGGGCUCAACCCCGGGGCUGCAUUGGAAACUGGCAGGCUGGAGUGCCGGAGAGGCAGGCGGAAUUCCUAGUGUAGCGGUGAAAUGCGUAGAUAUUAGGAGGAACACCAGUGGCGAAGGCGGCCUGCUGGACGGUGACUGACGCUGAGGCUCGAAAGCGUGGGGAGCAAACAGGAUUAGAUACCCUCGUAAC